UACACAUCAUCGAGGAACGAACGUUGUGACAGAAGGGUGAUGUUUUAGUGCCUGGUUUUGCGAUUUUUCACUUUCGGAGUACUACAUUUACACCUUAAAUGACGAUGAGCUGACUUAGUUUCUCUCACAAGGAUAUCAUUCUGUACAAUGUGAAUGGUCCGUGGGAUCAUUCCCACACCUUGCCGAUCUUAGGCGUCUUGUACUUCCCACAAGCUAAGAUUCAAGGAAGACAAGGAGUAUGUUAUGGAUGAAGCAACUGAAGACCAACGUUCCUUGAGUCCAUCCUUAUCAUUAUAACUGGUGAUAUGGAAUGGAUAUGGUCCAGAUUAUUUGGAAAUG